GGAAGCUGUGAAAGCGCAAGGUUCUCCUGCUGCCCUAAGAGUGAGCGGGGCUGCAGCCGGGGCUUGGUGCUCAGUCUCAGCAUCACCUUGGCAGAGGUGGGUUGCAGGCUGUAAAGGGGAUGGGGAUGGCACAAUGCUCAAAAAAAUCUGUGAUCUGUCCAGCCUCAGAGAUGCCUCAGGCCAGUUUUUAGGGCACAUCAUUCUUUUCCGCUCUGUGGCAUACAGGGACUAGGAUCUUUGCUCCUGGCCUAACAAACUUAGCUUUACGGUUGGCCCCAAGGACGUGGUCAGCUAGCAUAGCCUGCAGAAGCAUCUGCAGGAAAGAUUUAAACACUUCCACUCUUUUAGUUGUACUGACAGGAAAUUUUUACCUACCAAGCUGUGGGAAAGGAGAGGUCUUGGGUACAAACUUACCCUCUCUGUCUAGCAAAGUCAGUGACUUUCAAGAUCUAAAUUAAAUGAAGGAAAUAGGUGUUGAAUAUUUAUGGUUGGCAAAAAUAAAAAGGCCUUGUCAAACUGUGGUAAACAAAAGAAACACCUUUGCAUCUGCGGAUUUUAUCUGAGAAUUUAAAUGAGGAUUCUCCAUCUUAAAUGCCCUUUUACACCCAGGAGUUGACAGGUGAUACUAAAAGAUAAUUGCAACAGGCUUCUGGCAAUAGAAGCUUUUAAUCUAAUCCGAUGUUAAAUGUAGAAGUCUAUCUCUAAUGUCUCUGCCUGGAGUCUUACAUAUUUCCUGUGCCCACUGUUCUCACUUAAGUAUAGUAGUAGGACUGAAUGAACCAUCCAGCAAAUGUUGCAUUACUGCUGACCAGAACUCCAUUGUUUCCUUUUCACCCAAGUAAGUUUCCCUGAAAAAAAUUUUCCCCAUUCGUUUUCUGGAAUUUCAGGUCAUGCUUUUCUUAGCCAUUUUUUCUGCGUGGGUUGACUCUGCUUGCUUGUCACUGCAUAAAAGCAAAUGUGCUUAUAUCCCUUUUAUCAGGGAGCGUUUAAUCUUUACUCUUCAUGGAUUAAAACCCCCAUAUUUUAAAUCCUGAACUUUUAAGAAGAUGCCUGUGUGUGUUUGGAAAGGAAGGUGAACAUUGGGAGAUACUAGAAGGCUGUAAUCUGCGUGAGGCAAUUGGUUAAAGGGUUAUCUCAUCCUUUGGUCCAUGCUGGCUAACCAUUUCCAGCUGAAGUGUGCUGGGUAGCUCUUACCAGAGGCUGGACAAACACAGGGAUGGAUGCACAGAGCACCUUGGAGGACAGCAGGCUAUGUAAGCUUUUUCUCCCUCUUGGGUAGCAUAAGAGUGAUUUGGUUAUUUGCAGCACAGAAGCAGAGCUGCUUGGGCCCAGUGGGCAUAAAACCAAGGAGACAACAGAAAAUCUGGCUUUUUCUUAGGACAACUUAGGCACAAAACUAAAUGUCUUCAUGUGGAAAACACAAGAUGAUGUGAAGAAACACCCUGAGCAAAUCAGACAUGGCAGCUGCCCGACAGACCAAGGCAAGAGUAUAUUCUCUACAUGCCUCCACCUACACACCUAGAGCACAACCAAACAUCUUCCCCAUCUAUUUCAGAAAAGAACAAGACAGAAAAACAACCGGUAAUAUAUCUGACUGUAUUUCAAAGUUGUUGAUUGUAAACAAACUUUGUUGAAGAAAUAAAAUCACAUGACAAGA